GAAAAUUUGCUCUUUUAGUAUUUCUCCAGCAGGUUUCUUCAAGGAGCCCCC
rnacentral:snRNA from 1 species